rnacentral:rRNA from 1 species
UGAGGAAUAUUGGUCAAUGGGCGCAGGCCUGAACCAGCCAAGUAGCGUGAAGGAUGACUGCCCUAUGGGUUGUAAACUUCUUUUAUAAAGGAAUAAAGUCGGGUAUGUAUACCCGUUUGCAUGUACUUUAUGAAUAAGGAUCGGCUAACUCCGUGCCAGCAGCCGCGGUAAUACGGAGGAUCCGAGCGUUAUCCGGAUUUAUUGGGUUUAAAGGGAGCGUAGAUGGAUGUUUAAGUCAGUUGUGAAAGUUUGCGGCUCAACCGUAAAAUUGCAGUUGAUACUGGCGUCCUUGAGUACGGUUGAGGCAGGCGGAAUUCGUGGUGUAGCGGUGAAAUGCUUAGAUAUCACGAAGAACUCCGAUUGCGAAGGCAGCCUGCUAAGCUGCAACUGACAUUGAGGCUCGAAAGUGUGGGUAUCAAACAGGAUUAGAUACCCUGGUAGUCCACACGGUAAACGAUGAAUACUCGCUGUUUGCGAUAUACUGCAAGCGGCCAAGCGAAAGCGUUAAGUAUUCCACCUGGGGAGUACGCCGGCAACGGUGAAACUCAAAGGAAUUGACGGGGGCCCGCACAAGCGGAGGAACAUGUGGUUUAAUUCGAUGAUACGCGAGGAACCUUACCCGGGCUUAAAUUGCAGAUGAAUUACGGUGAAAGCCGUAAGCCGCAAGGCAUCUGUGAAGGUGCUGCAUGGUUGUCGUCAGCUCGUGCCGUGAGGUGUCGGCUUAAGUGCCAUAACGAGCGCAACCCUUGUUGUCAGUUACUAACAGGUUCCGCUGAGGACUCUGACAAGACUGCCAUCGUAAGAUGUGAGGAAGGUGGGGAUGACGUCAAAUCAGCACGGCCCUUACGUCCGGGGCUACACACGUGUUACAAUGGGGGGUACAGAGGGCCGCUACCACGCGAGUGGAUGCCAAUCCCCAAAACCUCUCUCAGUUCGGACUGGAGUCUGCAACCCGACUCCACGAAGCUGGAUUCGCUAGUAAUCGCGCAUCAGCCACGGCGCGGUGAAUACGUUCCC